GCUCUGGUGGCCUAGUGUUUAGAGCGUCUGCCUCUGAUGCGGAAGGUCAUGGUUGCGAUCCCUGGUCAAGUCA